rnacentral:rRNA from 1 species
UAGGGAAUCUUCGGCAAUGGGGGGAACCCUGACCGAGCAACGCCGCGUGAGUGAAGAAGGUUUUCGGAUCGUAAAGCUCUGUUGUUAAGGAAGAACGAGUGUGAGAAUGGAAAGUUCAUGCUGUGACGGUACUUAACCAGAAAGGGACGGCUAACUACGUGCCAGCAGCCGCGGUAAUACGUAGGUGGCAAGCGUUGUCCGGAUUUAUUGGGCGUAAAGCGAGCGCAGGCGGUCAAUUAAGUCUGAUGUGAAAGCCCCCGGCUCAACCGGGGAGGGUCAUUGGAAACUGGUUGACUUGAGUGCAGAAGAGGAGGGUGGAAUUCCAUGUGUAGCGGUGAAAUGCGUAGAUAUAUGGAGGAACACCAGUGGCGAAGGCGACUCUCUGGUCUGUAACUGACGCUGAGGCUCGAAAGCGUGGGUAGCAAACAGG